GGGAGGGCAUCAUUCUGCAAUGAGGUUUUUGUCAUUUGGUGAGUAAACCAGCUCCAAUCUCCCAUCCUGAAUGCCUGCUUUCUAGGGCCAUUCUGGGUACCAAUCGUCUUAGUUUGGAUUCCCCAAAAAACAGAGCCUGAGAGAAAAGCUUGAAUGAAAGUCAUUUAUUUGAGAAGCGAUCCCAGGAUGCAAGAGAGAUGCACAGGAGUGAAACAAAAGAGGAAAGCCAAUAUAAGGAUGGUUAUUGCCAAACCCGCCACAGAAGUCUCCUCCUCUUUUGAGGAGACUUACGAAAUGCAUUUCAGAACUGUCUGCCCAGGUGAUGAAAAGAGUAAUCAGUUAUCCACUAGCAACUUUCCACCUAGGUCAAGGAUGGCCCCAUGGGCACCUAACUCCCCUGCACCUUUGGGCUGUGCAAUUGGGAGUACCAAACAAGUUCUGCAGACAUUCCACGUCAGGGAGGCUGAAGUGAAAGGUAUACAGCUAGAAUCCAAAGAGAGGUACUAUCAUAUUCUCUGAGAACCUGGUCAAAGACUUCAUGGAAUUAGUUACCACAGCAGUGACUGGAGUAGAAGGCAGGGCAGAGAAGAUCUGAAGUGGGGCCCAACAUUUCUGAUGCGUAGAUCAAAGGCUUAAGGCUGGAAUAAACUCAGCAUGUUUGAGGAAUGCAAGAGAAGGGAGAGUGGGUGAAGACAUACUAAGCCUUGGUGAGUAUGGUACUGAGUUGAAGCAGGAAGAGAUCAGAUCCCACAGGAGUCUGCAAGGCUGAAUAAGGAAUAUACAUAGAAUGAAUAGUGCUUACUACUGAAUAAAGUAGUCCAGGAAAGACAUUCUUUUUAAUAUUAAAAGAUAAAGCCCCAAUAUAUAACCCAUCUGAGGAUUUCUAAUCAUAAUCUUCAGCAUCAAAUUACUGCCUUUAUAACAUAGUUUGGGGAGAUGAAAACAAAAAUCACAGAUCAACUAUUUUCUCCCACUACCAGCAAAGAAAAAAUGAGGAACCUAUGACUUAAGAGCAGUUGCUAGAAAUUUUAAAGAAAGGGUUCACUUUUAUGUCAAGAUCAGACAACUUUAAAUUAUUUAAAGAUCCUGUUACCCUUGCUCUGUUGACUGCCACUUCAGUGUUUCUUUCAGGACACUCCAAACAGCAGACAAGAGAUAAAGUGUUUCAACUGUGUCACAAGAGGACAGAAAGUGGCUGUUUGCAUCUGUUUGGGUCUAGUGUCAACCUCAAAGUUACUCAUUAGUAUCCAUAAAAAUAAAAACUUAGGACAAAAGGUUAAGUGUACAAAUAGAGGAAACACACAUUCCAUAAAGGAGAGGGGGAAAGAUUGAAUUCUUAAAGCCAUACUAAAUAAUAUCCUACAAUGUGCAAGCAGAAGUGACCUUAGAGAACGCUAGCCUCUAAAUGACCCAGAAAGUAAAUUAUGACUAAGUAUGAAAGCCAGACAUGACAUGAUGAUAAAAUAUGAGCUGAUCAGUAUUAGAAAAUAUAUAAUUUGGUUUAUUUCCUAAUUCAUAGAAUCCUAAGACUUGAUGGUGCUCUUAGGGAUCAUCUAAUCCAAAAUUACUGCCAAUGCAGGGAUUCCUUCUAUAAAACCCCUGGGGAUCACUAGCAACAUGGGACUUUUAGGUUGGAGACUCUAGCUGGUAGUGGGCAGUUCUACGUUCACCACUAAAUUUGCUCUUAUUUGAUUGCCAGCCCUUAGUCUUAGCUUUUUUAAGGAAAACAGUAACUCAUUUCAUAAAUAUUUAUAGCAAAGUCUAUAUAUGCUUGCCACGCAAUUUGAGAGUUAAUUUCUUUGUUUCAAGUGUAGGAAUAAUUAUCAGUGUAAAUUCCUCCAUUCUAGAUGAACAGCUCCUUAAAGACAAGACCAUAUAUCUUGUACAUUUUCAAAUUUCUGCCUUAAACAGAGCACCUUGCUUAUAUUAGGAUUUCAAAUGUUUGUGAAAUGAUAAAUGAAUGGAAUGAGUGAACGAACUGAAAUGAAAUUAAUGCCCAUAUUUAAAAAUAGAAUAUUAGCUGAUUUCUUGCCGAAGUUGUUAGUUCAAGAGUGAAAAAGAAUACUCAAGUAUCUGAAACAUUUCUCUAAAACUUUAUUUCAAAGUUAUUCACCUCACCGUUAAUAAGGUGUAUGAUUAAUGCUCUGUG
rnacentral:lncRNA from 1 species